rnacentral:rRNA from 1 species
UACGUAGGGCGCAAGCGUUGUCCGGAAUUAUUGGGCGUAAAGGGCGCGUAGGCGGCGUGACAAGUCACUUGUGAAAUCUCCGGGCUUAACUCGGAACGGUCAAGUGAUACUGUCGUGCUAGAGUACAGAAGGGGCAACUGGAAUUCUCGGUGUAGCGGUGAAAUGCGUAGAUAUCGAGAGGAACACCUGCGGCGAAGGCGGGUUGCUGGGCUGAUACUGACGCUGAGGCGCGAAAGCCAGGGGAGCGAACGGG